CUGAGGCUUAACUUCCUACAGCUUUGAAGUGGGGAAGCGCUGGCCGGCUUGAAGCCCUUGCCGCCUCCCAGGCUCAGAGCCUUUGGAGGAUGACCAGAGGAAGAGGCCAACUGGAGAAACAGCUGGAAAGCUUGGGUCUUGGAGUGUGACUGUGUGGCGGGCUGUCCCUGCAGUCUCCGUGUGGCCUCCUCCAGGACUGGCUGCAAGCAGCGGCUGGGGAAGGAACAAGUGAAGACAUCAAAAUGGGAGAGAAGAAAAAAAAAUAGGACAAAAGCAAUAUUUGAAGACGUCAUGACUGAGGAUUUUCCAAAUAUGAAGAAAGACAUCAAGCCACAGAUUCAAGAAUAUCAAUGAGCU